rnacentral:lncRNA from 1 species
CAAGAACUGUUUCAACAACCAAGGUUUUCCCAAACUGUUGAGCCCUAAAAGUACGGUGUGCAUGCCAAAAAUAAUAAUAAUAAUAAUAAUAAUAAAAGGUGUUAUUUAUUCAUUUAGUCCUUCAUUUUUUAUUUUAUUUUAUUUUUCUAUGCAGAAGCAUCGCCCAACAAAAUCAUCCUGCUUUACAAAUAAAGCUAUAUUAUAAAUAUAAGUAUUUUUUCAUACUCCAGUCAAUAGAGUGUUUUUAUGACCGGCAUCUCAUUCUCAGGGGGGUCCAGGAGCGACGGGGGCCCCAGGGGAAAAUGGCCCUCCAGGACCCACAGGAGACCAGGGUCCUCCGGUAUGUGUUUCCACAUGCGUAUGCACAUGAUAGCAUCAACGAACCGAUGCUAAAACCUCCUCUGUCUGUUUCAGGGACCCCCGGGACCCAAGGGAGAGAAGGGCGAGCGGGUGAGUCUGAAAACGAGUCUGAGUGGAUAACGAGGUCAUCCUCACGUUCUCAUCUCUGAUGUGUCUCACUGAUGCUCAUGUGUGUGUUUAACAGGGUGAAGUCCAGUCCAUGACUUCUGUCCAAGCCAUAGCCAGACAAGUGUGUGAGCAGCUGAUCCAGAGUCACAUGGCACGGUACAAUUCCAUUCUGAACCUUAUUCCCAGUCAGCCAGUGUCGAUCCGCACUGUUCCCGGGCCGGCGGGAGAGCCGGGCCGACAGGGGGCCUCCAGGACCUCAGGGAGAGCAGGGGCUGCCGGGACGGCCGGGAUUCCCAGGCAGUAAUGGAGAGAACGGCCUGCCAGGAGCCAGAGGACCUCUGGGUGAGAAGGGAGAGAAGGGCAGUCCAGGUGUGGGAGUCCAGGGACCCAGAGGACCUGCUGGACCACCAGGUGAACACACACACACACACACACACAAACAUUUACAUUAGUCAUUUAGCAGAUGCAACAUUGUGAAUGAACACACACACACACACACACACACAACAGUGUGAACACACACACACANNNNNNNNNNNNNNACGUGUAUCUUUUCUAGUACCCUUUAAAAAUAGUAUCUUG